AGUGUAUCGGGCUCCUUAGAGUGAGUUUCCCCGUAUUGCAUCCCAAGAAAACCCCGGGUACACUGCUCCGACAGCAGGAGCUCAUGCGAGACACAGAUUUAUUUCCAAAUAUUUCCUCAGCAUAUUGUCAUUUUCUGCUUGUGAUAAUAUAGUAUACAGAGCUUUAGACCUUAACGAUGCCCAUGUAUGCCAUAAUUCAUUUCCAUAAAUGUCUUAAAGGGACACAGUCAGGGCUGUAAACAAGGCAUUUGCCUAGCAUGGCACUUUCAGGGAGCGGCAAAAAACGCCGCCCUAAGUGCCCAGGCAAGUGCCUUGUAUUCCUCACGUCCUGGGUAGGAGCAAGAGGUGGCCGGCUGGCUCAAAGUGUAGGCAGGUGGUGAGGGAGCGCAGUCCUUCAAGCUCCCUUCUAUGAUGCCGGGAGCCGGAAUUUGACGUCCCUCCGGCCCCCAGCAGUGCGCGAGUUAGCAGAACAGGAAGAACUCAGUUCCCUAGCCACCUCCAUUAAGCUUCUGCC